UUAAGCGACUAAGCGUACACGGUGGAUGCCCUGGCAGUCAGAGGCGAUGAAGGACGUGCUAAUCUGCGAUAAGCGUCGGUAAGGUGAUAUGAACCGUUAUAACCGGCGAUUUCCGAAUGGGGAAACCCAGUGUGAUUCGUCACACUAUCAUUAACUGAAUCCAUAGGUUAAUGAGGCGAACCGGGGGAACUGAAACAUCUAAGUACCCCGAGGAAAAGAAAUCAACCGAGAUUCCCCCAGUAGCGGCGAGCGAACGGGGAGCAGCCCAGAGCCUGAAUCAGUGUGUGUGUUAGUGGAAGCGUCUGGAAAGGCGUGCGAUACAGGGUGACAGCCCCGUACACAAAAAUGCACAUGCUGUGAGCUCGAUGAGUAGGGCGGGACACGUGGUAUCCUGUCUGAAUAUGGGGGGACCAUCCUCCAAGGCUAAAUACUCCUGACUGACCGAUAGUGAACCAGUACCGUGAGGGAAAGGCGAAAAGAACCCCGGCGAGGGGAGUGAAAAAGAACCUGAAACCGUGUACGUACAAGCAGUGGGAGCACAGAGCAAUCUGUGUGACUGCGUACCUUUUGUAUAAUGGGUCAGCGACUUAUAUUCUGUAGCAAGGUUAACCGAAUAGGGGAGCCGAAGGGAAACCGAGUCUUAACUGGGCGUUAAGUUGCAGGGUAUAGACCCGAAACCCGGUGAUCUAGCCAUGGGCAGGUUGAAGGUUGGGUAACACUAACUGGAGGACCGAACCGACUAAUGUUGAAAAAUUAGCGGAUGACUUGUGGCUGGGGGUGAAAGGCCAAUCAAACCGGGAGAUAGCUGGUUCUCCCCGAAAGCUAUUUAGGUAGCGCCUCGUGAAUUCAUCUCCGGGGGUAGAGCACUGUUUCGGCAAGGGGGUCAUCCCGACUUACCAACCCGAUGCAAACUGCGAAUACCGGAGAAUGUUAUCACGGGAGACACACGGCGGGUGCUAACGUCCGUCGUGAAGAGGGAAACAACCCAGACCGCCAGCUAAGGUCCCAAAGUCAUGGUUAAGUGGGAAACGAUGUGGGAAGGCCCAGACAGCCAGGAUGUUGGCUUAGAAGCAGCCAUCAUUUAAAGAAAGCGUAAUAGCUCACUGGUCGAGUCGGCCUGCGCGGAAGAUGUAACGGGGCUAAACCAUGCACCGAAGCUGCGGCAGCGACGCUUAUGCGUUGUUGGGUAGGGGAGCGUUCUGUAAGCCUGCGAAGGUGUGCUGUGAGGCAUGCUGGAGGUAUCAGAAGUGCGAAUGCUGACAUAAGUAACGAUAAAGCGGGUGAAAAGCCCGCUCGCCGGAAGACCAAGGGUUCCUGUCCAACGUUAAUCGGGGCAGGGUGAGUCGACCCCUAAGGCGAGGCCGAAAGGCGUAGUCGAUGGGAAACAGGUUAAUAUUCCUGUACUUGGUGUUACUGCGAAGGGGGGACGGAGAAGGCUAUGUUGGCCGGGCGACGGUUGUCCCGGUUUAAGCGUGUAGGCUGGUUUUCCAGGCAAAUCCGGAAAACUAAGGCUGAGGCGUGAUGACGAGGCACUACGGUGCUGAAGCAACAAAUGCCCUGCUUCCAGGAAAAGCCUCUAAGCAUCAGGUAACAUCAAAUCGUACCCCAAACCGACACAGGUGGUCAGGUAGAGAAUACCAAGGCGCUUGAGAGAACUCGGGUGAAGGAACUAGGCAAAAUGGUGCCGUAACUUCGGGAGAAGGCACGCUGAUAUGUAGGUGAAGCGACUUGCUCGUGGAGCUGAAAUCAGUCGAAGAUACCAGCUGGCUGCAACUGUUUAUUAAAAACACAGCACUGUGCAAACACGAAAGUGGACGUAUACGGUGUGACGCCUGCCCGGUGCCGGAAGGUUAAUUGAUGGGGUCAGCGCAAGCGAAGCUCUUGAUCGAAGCCCCGGUAAACGGCGGCCGUAACUAUAACGGUCCUAAGGUAGCGAAAUUCCUUGUCGGGUAAGUUCCGACCUGCACGAAUGGCGUAAUGAUGGCCAGGCUGUCUCCACCCGAGACUCAGUGAAAUUGAACUCGCUGUGAAGAUGCAGUGUACCCGCGGCAAGACGGAAAGACCCCGUGAACCUUUACUAUAGCUUGACACUGAACAUUGAGCCUUGAUGUGUAGGAUAGGUGGGAGGCUUUGAAGUGUGGACGCCAGUCUGCAUGGAGCCGACCUUGAAAUACCACCCUUUAAUGUUUGAUGUUCUAACGUUGACCCGUAAUCCGGGUUGCGGACAGUGUCUGGUGGGUAGUUUGACUGGGGCGGUCUCCUCCUAAAGAGUAACGGAGGAGCACGAAGGUUGGCUAAUCCUGGUCGGACAUCAGGAGGUUAGUGCAAUGGCAUAAGCCAGCUUGACUGCGAGCGUGACGGCGCGAGCAGGUGCGAAAGCAGGUCAUAGUGAUCCGGUGGUUCUGAAUGGAAGGGCCAUCGCUCAACGGAUAAAAGGUACUCCGGGGAUAACAGGCUGAUACCGCCCAAGAGUUCAUAUCGACGGCGGUGUUUGGCACCUCGAUGUCGGCUCAUCACAUCCUGGGGCUGAAGUAGGUCCCAAGGGUAUGGCUGUUCGCCAUUUAAAGUGGUACGCGAGCUGGGUUUAGAACGUCGUGAGACAGUUCGGUCCCUAUCUGCCGUGGGCGCUGGAGAACUGAGGGGGGCUGCUCCUAGUACGAGAGGACCGGAGUGGACGCAUCACUGGUGUUCGGGUUGUCAUGCCAAUGGCACUGCCCGGUAGCUAAAUGCGGAAGAGAUAAGUGCUGAAAGCAUCUAAGCACGAAACUUGCCCCGAGAUGAGUUCUCCCUGACUCCUUGAGAGUCCUGAAGGAACGUUGAAGACGACGACGUUGAUAGGCCGGGUGUGUAAGCGCAGCGAUGCGUUGAGCUAACCGGUACUAAUGAACCGUGAGGCUUAACCUU
rnacentral:rRNA from 1 species